UGAGGAAUAUUGGACAAUGGGCGCAAGCCUGAUCCAGCCAUGCCGCGUGCAGGAAGAAGCAUCUAUGGUGUGUAAACUGCUUCUGUACGGGAAGAAACACUCCUACGUGUAGGAGCUUGACGGUACCGUAAGAAUAAGGAUCGGCUAACUCCGUGCCAGCAGCCGCGGUAAUACGGAGGAUCCAAGCGUUAUCCGGAAUCAUUGGGUUUAAAGGGUCCGUAGGCGGUUUAAUAAGUCAGUGGUGAAAGCCCAUCGCUCAACGAUGGAACGGCCAUUGAUACUGUUAGACUUGAAUUACAAGGAAGUAACUAGAAUAUGUGGUGUAGCGGUAAAAUGCUUAGAUCUUACAUGAAAUACCAAUUGCGAAGGCAGGUUACUACUUGUGGAUUGACGCUGAUGGACGAAAGCGUGGGGCGAAAAC
rnacentral:rRNA from 1 species